AAGCCAUCCUCUCGCAGGACCCAGAUGCUCUGUUCUUUCUUUGCCACUCAACAAAUCAAUACCAUACCCCUAAGCCCGCCUUUCCCUGGGGAAUGCCGGCUGCCUCUCUGCCCCCACGCAGCUGACCGAGGCUGCACAGCUCUCAGCUCACGUGCUGCUUUCAGAGGAGGAAAUGAAUGCAACGACUCCUGUCCAGCUCAGGAGGGGGAAGAUUUAAAAAAGAAAGUUGUUAAGAGGGAACCUGAGACACACUGCUCAUUCUUGCUGAGCUUCCUGUGGAACAUCUCCUCCCAACGAACUGAGGCACUCACCUCCCCACCCCUUCUCUUAACUUCUGUCUGACGUAAAAUCUGUUGCACUCUUCCACAUCCAUCCAGCCCAGAGCUUCGUAUUUGUAUUCAUAUCAUGCACAAGUGAAUGACAUAAAGGGCCCAAACAAUUACCAAGAAUUGCAUCAAGGCCAGGUUACUGCAGCUGAGGAAUCAUGAAGGAUCACCAUAGAGCUGUCAUAUCCUGAGAGCUGUAUAGGACCGUCAUAAACAUUCCCACACAGUAGCCGCUGUGCAGGGUGUGUUCAUUGCUGUGACUGUUAUUUGCCAUAGGGUCUGCUGAAAUGAGUUAAAGGAAUUCAAGUGCUGCUAAACCAGAUUCACCUCCUGAUGUGCACUUAUCCCUUAGAAUCCAAACAGAAAAAGUGCUGCCAAGGUGUAUUAAGUCACUUCUACAUCCCUUCCCCCAUUUUGCCUUUGAGAGGUGAUACAGCUCCGGAUUUUGUGCUUCACUGUCCAAGUUUGCAAAUGUGGUAUAAAUCUAAAGGGUUUUCAUGGCAGGAAGUGGUAGGUGGAGACGUCCUAAGGGCUGGAGCAAGGCUAAGACACAGCUGCCAGGGAAACUCUGGUGGGUGGGAGAAGGAGGAGACAGUCAUAUGCCUGGCAAGAGAGAGCCUUCCUGGGGAUGAGUGCAGCUGAGAGAGAGUGACAGAGUGCAACUGAGCAGAAGUGGCUGAAGCAGGAUUUGUCCAGCACUCUGUUUUUUUGAGGCCAGAAUGCAGCGCUUUCCACUGUGUCAUAAAGAAGUGAAACAGGAAAAUGAUGUGGUCAGCAGCUGCAUCGUAGAAGGACAGGAUAUGGAAGCCACACAUUGGCUGCGCCAUUCUGCAUCUGAGCAAGAUUCUCCUAGCAAAAUAAAGAUUCAUUCUUGAAACAGCCAGGGACUGUGCUGUACUGUCUGUUCCCAGGAGGACUGAAGGGGAAAUUAGUCAUCUGCCAAGGAGCCAUAGGAAGGAAGAUGAUAAACUCAAGGAAAAAGAGUCACAUGCCUUUUUUUGUCCUUACUUCUAAACCCGAGUGUACUCUUGACAAAAGUAAUGCAGCAGCCAGGAGUUUUGAAUACAGGAGGGACAUAAAGUGCCUGUUAAAUGCGACCAUUGAUCUUACUUCCCUCCUUUCUAAUGGAGUAUUACAUCUUUAUUUUUAUGCUUGCACAUCAGAUGAGGUAAACUGGAG
ensembl:lncRNA